UUGCAGUUAAAAAGCUCGUAGUUGGAUUUCUGGUUUGAUGCCCUGGCCCGCUGCUAUUUUGGUAGUGUGUGCCGGUUGUGCGUCUGCCAUCCUUCUAGGGAACGCUCCUUCUCUUCACUGAGCCGGGUUCGUGAUCUAGAUCGUUUACUUUGAAAAAAUUAGAGUGUUUAAAGCAGGCUUUUGCUAUGAAUACAUUAGCAUGGAAUAAUAAUCUAGGACUUCGGUCAUAUUUUGUUGGUUUCUGUAACUGAAGUAAUGAUUGAUAGGGAUAGUUGGGGGUGCUAGUAUUGAGCGGCCAGAGGUGAAAUUCUUGGAUUCGCUCAAGACUAACUUAUGCGAAAGCAUUCACCAGGGAUGUCUUCUUUAAUCAAGAACGAAAGUUGGGGGAUCGAAGACGAUCAGAUACCGUCGUAGUCUCAACCAUAAACUAUGCCAACUAGGGAUGGGUGAACGUUGCAUUCUCGACUUCAUCUGCACCUUAUGAGAAAUCAAAGUUUUUGGGUUCCGGGGGGAGUAUGGUCGCAAGGCUGAAACUUAAAGGAAUUGACGGAAGGGCACCACCAGGAGUGGAGCCUGCGGCUUAAUUUGACUCAACACGGGAAAAACUUACCA
rnacentral:rRNA from 1 species